rnacentral:rRNA from 1 species
AAAUUGAAGAGUUUGAUCAUGGCUCAGAUUGAACGCUGGCGGCAGGCCUAACACAUGCAAGUCGAACGGUAGCACAGAGAGCUUGCUCUCGGGUGACGAGUGGCGGACGGGUGAGUAAUGUCUGGGAAACUGCCUGAUGGAGGGGGAUAACUACUGGAAACGGUGGCUAAUACCGCAUAACGUCGCAAGACCAAAGAGGGGGACCUUCGGGCCUCUUGCCAUCAGAUGUGCCCAGAUGGGAUUAGCUUGUUGGUGAGGUAACGGCUCACCAAGGCGACGAUCCCUAGCUGGUCUGAGAGGAUGACCAGCCACACUGGAACUGAGACACGGUCCAGACUCCUACGGGAGGCAGCAGUGGGGAAUAUUGCACAAUGGGCGCAAGCCUGAUGCAGCCAUGCCGCGUGUAUGAAGAAGGCCUUCGGGUUGUAAAGUACUUUCAGCGGGGAGGAAGGUGUUGUGGUUAAUAACCGCAGCAAUUGACGUUACCCGCAGAAGAAGCACCGGCUAACUCCGUGCCAGCAGCCGCGGUA